CCCUGAGAUAGAAGACAAAAAGGGAAAGACACUAUACGCACAGCUCAUCUUGCUGAAGACCGCCGGAUCUGAGAAUCUCAGGCAAAUAUAUAAGAAAAUUGUGCUACUCCAUCAUGGCACUUGAAUGGUUGACACAAGUGUUUGUUUCACUAUUUGGUAGUACUAUAUCACUAUUCUGGGAUGAGGAACUUUCUGAAUUUUUUCAAUACUUGCCUGAUGGUCUCAUUGUUGAUAUCAUCAGUAGACUUCCAAUAGAUACUCUUAUUAGAUGUCGAAGGGAAUGUAUGGAAAGCUAUAAUAUACAUGAAUACCGCUUGCAAGGGAACGGGAGAAAUUCUUAAUCUUUAGCUAAUGUUGAAUGCUUUACCAUGUUACGCAUCCCAGUUGAUCCAUGUCCUUUUUAUAAACUUGUAUCCAAUUUUCCAUGAGCUACACUCUCUCGAGAACAGAAGAUCAACAUGCGAGUUCAUAUUAUAAGUGUUAAUGAUGCUGCCUUGCUUGCUUGACAAAAUUACCGAAUGGAUGAAAAAUGCUUGUGUGGAUGACAGGUAGGUCAAUACAUCUUGAAUUGAUAUUAUGCUGCUGAUAGUACCUGGUCGUGUAUUACUCAAUAUCCAGCAUUUAAUGUCAAGGCUUACAAAGUACUCAAAAAUUUCAAUCAUUUUUAAGAGGAAUCUAUGGUCGCAAGAAGCAACAGUGCGACAAAAUGUUACUUAGUUAUAUUGACUGGCAUCAAGAGGAUGCUGAAAACAGUACAAAGAAAAUUAGGGAAAGCUCCUAGAUACAAAAACCUACAGAUAUAACAUUGAGCCAUUUCCCUAGAUGUGCAAAAAGUAUGGGUGCUAAGCCAAAGGCAAGGAGCUAAUGAAAUCUACAAGGGGAAUAACAACAGUUAAACUUCAGAGAAGAGUUAGGAGUUGAAAUCCCAUAAAAAACAUCUACGAUUUCUAUCCAUCCAGAUACUCCAAAAAAUGCAUGCUGGUAUCAUUUGCCAGAUCUUCGUGAUGGUUCUGUCAACUACCCAAAGGUUCCAGCUUUCCAUAGUUUCCUUAACAUUCCGCGGCACUACCCAACUAACCCCAGAAAUUGAUAAGAACAUGUUCCACAAAUCAGAUGCAACUGAGCAAUGCACAAGUAAAUGGUUGACUGUUUCUGAGCUAUGUUGGCUCAUAAAAGUUAAAACACCUGUUUGCUAGUUGAAACUUUCUUUUGCAAAGGCUGUCUUGAGUUAGGAUUGCCUCCCUGAUGGUUGUCCAUGUAAAGCAUAUGAUUUUACAGGGGAGUUAAGUGCUCCAAAUCAGCUUCCAAGGCCAGUGUUCAGUUACUUCAUUUUGAGCACACAAUUUACUGUAACCUGCCUUGACUGGCAAGAACCCUUACAUGAACUACUCCAUCUUAGCUUGUCACUGGCCCGGGGACUUAUUGUGCAAUCUUCUAAAAUUCUGUAAAGAUCAAAGAUCUCCUGUAGUUCCCAAUCUUGCAAAUUUCUUCUAAGGAGGAGGUUCCAUGAGGUUCCGGCUCUAUUUUGUGCUAUCAUACGGCACAAUCUAUUUACUCCAUUUACUGGAAACAUGAUGCUUAAUUCGAUACAUAAGUUAUCUUAUUUUAUCACUCACUCUUUGCAGUCCACUUAAAGAAUGAUUACAGGGUAAGUUCUACAUUAGGAGUCUUUUAUUACUGUUGUAGUCCCUAUUUGUCAGUAGUUUGACAGAUUCAAAAUCACGUUAGUAGCAUAAACAAAAUACGUUCACGUAGUAGUGUUCAAACAUGAUAAUUUUGAUCAGUUGCCGUCUCAAGUAUUAGGAGAGAUUUUGGUCAAAACUCUUGUCUACUCAUUAAUUAACCUUUGAUCUUUCGUAAGGUAUACAAUACAUAAUCACAACUCCUUGGUUACCACAAACAUGGAAAGUAUAAUAGUAUAUGGUUUAUCACUUUAAUCUUGAUAUUCUUUCUUCUUGUAAAGUAAUGACUACAGACUUCGGAACCAAAGAGCUUAUAGAAAAGUCAGAUAGGAGCACUUUAUGGCUGUGAAGACUUGUGACAUGACUGCCCAGCAGCCUCCAGGUGCCUUUUUAUAGAUCUUAAUCGCGGCAUGCUUGCUCGUCUGCUGGUGGCUAGAGUUGCCUUAUGCCAAACAAUUCUGAAACUGACUUUAAUAUGCUUAAACUUUUUCCUAUUAACUUAUUUUUUUGGCACUAGUGUAUUUACCCAUCAAAAGCUCUUCUGUUUCUCGCUGCAGAAUCCACAUAAGUGCCCAGGGGGAUGCAUUUUCUUUCUUUCUAACUUGCUUUGUAUCUUUUUGUCUCUGUGUCUAUCAAAGGCUGAUGCUCUUUUUGGUUCAAUUGGUAACGGGAACUUGAUUAUUCAGGUGCUAUUUGCAUGGAGGUCACCAGGCAGCAGUCUGAUUCAGAAUUUUUAUCACUUGUUAUUAGAAGUCUGAAGAAAGCAAAAGGCAGUUCUUCGAUGCCGCUACCCUUCAUCUCACUAAUACUGGCACAAGCAGAAGCUAUCCCCUCGGUUUGAAUCAAAGUGGGAAAAGAACCUCAUUGAGGAAUGGUGAUCUUGGCGACCAGGUUUGAUAUUUUGUUCUUUGGUAAUUCAUUUAUGUUUUAUUUAGAGCAGUUAAGUUUAGACUGGUUGAAAACUUUGCUCGAGUCAAUAUUGAGUGCAAUCGAGUAAUGGGUCUUUCACAAUCAGACUACCCACGCACUAUGGUAUUUGGUUAUAGAAGUUUGCCAUGUAGCUGACCCUUUUAGUUCAUUCUUGCCAGAGUGUGAGUUUACUUACCUAGUCAUCUUUAAUGGUUUUUUUUUUAAAAAAAAAAAAAACAAUAAGAUUUGGACUAAUGACAUUGGGGUUGAAAAUUCUGUUCUGAAGUUUCCACUUUCUUGCAUAGUGUUCGGCCAAGAAACAAGUUUACUUGUGUUAGUCCAUUGCCUCACCUCAUUCCAAAUCUAUGCAAUGCCAGUUUGUGCUAAUUUGGAGUUUCGGUGCACCAGCAACAAGAAACAACCCUGUCCAUGGUGGCUUAGAACAGGAUUGAGGAUAUUCUUUGGAUGCCUAGCAUUUUUCAUAUCAGUUGAAUUCCCUUUUUUGCCAAGUUUGGCUAGGCUAAUUAGUGCCAUUCCCAAGUUAUGGUACAAAUGUCUCUGUAUCACCUUAUGUCUACUUUAUCCUUUUCACCUAGGGUAUUUCUUGUUUUAAGUUAAAGCCUCUUUGAAUAGGCCUUAGUAGGAUUUAUUUUCUUACUUAUGUAAGUGCAAAGUCUCCCUUGUUUAUGUUAUCCUAGAUUGUCUUUGUUUGAGAGUAGUCUUCUCUUCUUAGAUGCACAGUAGGUCUAGGUUUCCUUUAUUAGUAUGGGGGAGGACUAGUCGACUCAUGAACCACCCUAGGACUGGUGGCAAGAUUUAUGUCCCUCUCCUUGUACUUUCUUUAAUUUUGUUAUUUAUGUCAAGGCUUGGGUGUGCGUGGCUCAACCCUGAGUGAGGGGUGAGAUCCUUGGGUUAGAUCCAUUUAAUAUUUUAGUUUUUGUUUUUCUUUAAAAAAAGAGUCGUUGCUUAUUUAAUUGAUUGAUUUGAGCUUAGAUGGCCCCCCUCCGUGUACUUUCUUUAAUUUUGUUAUUUAUGUUAAAGGCUUGUGUCUGUGUGGCUCAACCCCUGAUCGCCACGAGGGGUGAGAUCCUUGGGUCAGGUCUGUUUAAUUUUUUUUUUUAAAAAGUGCCGUGGCUUAUUAAUUGAUUGUUUGAUUGUUUGAACAUAGUAAUCUAGGUGCAUUAUUCAUAUUACAAAUUGUGGUGGUAUACAAUGAGUACAAUGCUAUUAAUGUUGCUAUUUAUCUGCAUUUUGGAAAGAGGUGGUUUACUUUGAUGCUAUGAAUUCUAAAAUCUUUGUUUAUAGAAGGGCAGAUCACAUGCCGAUACUAUUUAAGAGUCAAUAAAGCAAAACCUACCAAUAGUUUCUACUGAAUUAAGUGAGUAACUUACUCCUUUAUUUUCUCCAACUGGUUUUCCAAUUCCCCGAUUCACUCCCUCUUAACCAACUCCACGAUUUGCUCCACUUUUGCAUCUCUAGAAUGCUUCUCUCUUAUCAAGUUGAAUUAAACUCGAUCGGAACAAUUUGCAAGUAUGGAAGAUGGUAGCAACAUUUCAAUCGUGAUUCUACACGGCAGAAGAUGGGAUGUAUCAGGGAGAUACAAGGCAUUGUAAUUGACGGAAUCAUGUACGAUUCAAACACAAAAUAUAAUUGGUUAAGGCAAUUGCCAAGCAACUGGGUGUAGACACAACAAUAAAAGAGUUGGAGAUUAGUCAGCUUAUGAUCCAUGCAAGAAGAGCAGCUUUAUGUCCUCCACUCCACUUGUCCUGAUGAUUCCAUCUGGCAAUAUCUACCAGAUUUAAUUGACUAUCUUUCACAACCAUUGCUUAAAACAAGAAUAGGGCUGAAGGAUCAGUGAAGUUUUCAUGAAGAAUAAUUGAUCUUUGCAAACUCUGAAAUCAAACUCACAUUCAAAUUCAUUCUUGAGCAGAACCAAAGGAUUUGACAGAGGUAAUGGAAACAGAGCUGCAGAAAGCAGAAUUGACACCUUUUCCAUAGUGUAUUUAUGCUCUAGAGUGAUAUUCCUGGGCUUCCAAGAUUACAACCCAAUUGGGCAUAGCUGGUGCAGCCUUUUUCUCUGAGUCGUGCUACUACUGAUACCCACCCCGUGUACUGUAAGGUUUAUGAAAGAAUUCCUCUUUCCUUGCCUAUUUUUCUGAGCAUCACAGGAUUGCCAAAGCUCAGGUUUCCGAAUCUGCCCUCUCUUGGUUGUAGCACUGGUCGGUAUCCCCCAAUAAUCAUGCACAUACUUGGCCAGUUUGUCAACUUUGAAAAGGCUGACUGGGUCCUCUUUAACUCAUUCAAUAAAUUGGAAGAAGAGGUAGGUGCACCAUAUUCCCUUUGCUCUCAAGCAAAGCAGCACAUUAUGUUCUUAUGGGUGGUGAAACCUGAUGAACAGAGUAAGCUUCCAAGUGACUUCAUCAAAGAGACAUCGGGGAAGGGAUUGGUUGUGACAUGGUGCUCACAGUUAGAGGUAGUAGCACAUCAUACAAUCAGAUGCUUCAUAUCACACUGCAGAUGGAACUCAAACCUUAAGAGGCAAUAAGUUUUGGUGUGCCUAUAGUUGCAGGGCCACAAAUUUUAGAUCAGAUAAUCAACGCACAUUUUCUAGAGAAAGUUUGGGGUGCAGGGAAGUUUUAGGAAGGGGGGAGAGGGGACAAGAAGUUAAAAAGAAUGAAUAUUAUUAGCUUGAAACUUGAAAGAAUUGGCUAAGGAGACAAUUGACACAAGUGGAAAUUCAGACAAGCAUAUUGACGAGUUCAUUGAACAGCUUGAUCCAACCAAACAACAACUGAAAUUGUACAAUUAUUUAUCCGACUUGUGUGGUGAAGGUGAAGUAUAUUCUAUGUUUGAUUAAAUGGUCCUGCUGUUGCUUCAUACCAUAUCGGGCACAAAAUACGACGUAUAUAAAUUCUUUCAUAACCUAUUAUUUACGAGGAAAACAGAAUGUAGCAAUGAAACAUUGUACUUAUUUAGAUUAUUAUUAGUAAUUUCUAUGCAAAGAUUAAGUAGGUGUUUGCCGCAUAUGCAGUCAAACCUACAUCGUUUGUCCU